rnacentral:rRNA from 1 species
GACGAACGCUGGCGGCGUGCUUAACACAUGCAAGUCGAACGGAAAGGCCCUGCUUUUGUGGGGUGCUCGAGUGGCGAACGGGUGAGUAACACGUGAGUAACCUGCCCUUGACUUUGGGAUAACUUCAGGAAACUGGGGCUAAUACCGGAUAGGAGCUCCUGCUGCAUGGUGGGGGUUGGAAAGUUUCGGCGGUUGGGGAUGGACUCGCGGCUUAUCAGCUUGUUGGGGGGGUAGUGGCUUACCAAGGCUUUGACGGGUAGCCGGCCUGAGAGGGUGGCCGGCCUCAUUGGGCCUACGGUACGGCCCAGACUCCUACGGGGGGCAGCGGUGGGAAAUCUUGCACAAUGGGGCGAAGCCUGUUGCAGCAGCCCCGCGUGCGGGAUGACGGCCUUCGGGUUGUAAACCGCUUUCGCCUGUGACGAAGCGUGAGUGACGGUAAUGGGUAAAGAAGCACCGGCUAACUACGUG